rnacentral:rRNA from 1 species
ACACUCCUGCGGGAGGCAGCAGUGGGGAAUAUUGGACAAUGGGCGCAAGCCUGAUCCAGCCAUGCCGCGUGAGUGAUGAAGGCCCUAGGGUUGUAAAGCUCUUUCACCGGUGAAGAUAAUGACGGUAACCGGAGAAGAAGCCCCGGCUAACUUCGUGCCAGCAGCCGAGGUAAUACGAAGGGGGCUAGCGUUGUUCGGAUUUACUGGGCGUAAAGCGCACGUAGGCGGACUAUUAAGUCAGGGGUGAAAUCCCGGGGCUCAACCCCGGAACUGCCUUUGAUACUGGUAGUCUUGAGUUCGAGAGAGGUGAGUGGAAUUCCGAGUGUAGAGGUGAAAUUCGUAGAUAUUCGGAGGAACACCAGUGGCGAAGGCGGCUCACUGGCUCGAUACUGACGCUGAGGUGCGAAAGCGUGGGGAGCAAACAGGAUUAGAAACCCGAGUAGUCCC